AUUAACCCGAUGGCGAGUGAUUUUAGAACCAACACUCACAGCCAGGGAAGCAUCCUGUUAUCGGCGUUGAGCAAGCCCACCAAUAGAGUGGGAAGCCUGAACCGAUGCAUUCGCUGCCCACUUGAACCUAAGGGUUCAAAAUCCGGUACCCAUCGGGUUAUAU
rfam:Legionella pneumophila subsp. pneumophila str. Philadelphia 1, complete genome.